rnacentral:lncRNA from 1 species
UUUGAAAUAAUUUUUUAAUUAUUUCAAUGAAAAUUUUUAGGGAUUUUUUAAUAGCUGUGUUUUUUUUGAAAUAAUCUUUUCAUUAUUUCAAUAGUAAACAACUGGUGGAUUGAUAAUCAGUUUAAGAGUAAUUUUGUGAUGAUUUAAAACAUGUUUUCACAAUUUGUUUUUCUUUUUUAAAGUUACCUAGCUUUAGGUAACUUUAUACCAUAAGAAAAGUAAACAAGAAAAAAGAUCCAUUUAAACUAUUGGCCUCAUUUUGUUGUCAGUUAUCAAAUGGAACUAUUUUUUUUAAAGAUAUGUUUUAAUAACAGUGCAUCACAGAAUCUUUUUUAAAUUAUGUUUUGUAAAGGAAAAUGGCGGUUAAAGGUAAACAAGUUUUAUGUUAAAAUUUAAUUAGACUAGGAAACUAUUUUUAUUACAGGUAUUUUUCAAGAAAUAGGGAUUAAUUAAUUUUGAUUAGGUGUAUUACUUGUAUUAUGAACAAUUCGUAAAUGUUAAAAUAUUACUUAUUUUUAGUCAAUUUUUACAGUAUUUAAAAGUGUUUUUUGAAAAAAGUCUGAUACUUUGUUGUCAAGUCAUAUACUUUUAGUUACUUUGACUAUAAUGAUUUGUCAACCUUAUCAGUCAAUAUAUUUUUGGAAUAUACUUAGAUAAUAUUGUAGAAAUUGUCUUAAUAAGUUAAUUUUAUCAUUUAUAUUGUAUUGGUACAUAAGCCAUAAGUUAUUUCAGAUAUAUGAAUUAAGAGAUUUUGAUGUGGCCACAAAAUGUUUUAUUUUCUUUGGGGGAUUCUUAAAAUCGAAUUUUAGUGUUAUCAAAUAGGAUGAAAAUAGCAUAAGUUAUGGGUAAUCUAUUUUGAGUUUUACUAUGUCUUUUCGUUCAUAUUUUUGUGACAGCCUGUCGUGUGUUAUUUAAAAUCUUUUUAAAUGUUAAUACUAUAAUAUAAAAAUAUGUAUUUAUAAUUUCUUAAGUACUUUUCUUUUUGAAAUUUUAUAUAUUUUUAUGUAUUUAACAUUUAUCAAGGUUUUCGAAUAGUUCAUGAUUAGGUACAGUUAACUGCCAAGAAUCGAGCACUAGAUGUAGUUAAACUGAAAUUAAAUUGUUUUGUUUGCGUUUACUAUGAGGUUUUUGUUUGGUAUGGAAUAUCGUUUUUUCUAUUGAGUUAUUGGGUUAAAGUUAUAGGUUCAAGUGUCAUGUAGAGGAGAAUUUUUGAGUGGUUUUUGACAACCAAAAAGGUUAUUUAACUUUUCAAAAGUCACAAGUAUCUGCUGUUAGUCAGAAGUAAAAAAUAAUUAAAGAUAAAAUAGUUCUGAUUAUUAAAAUCAAUUAUUUUGGGAACAAAUGUCUUGUAUUGUUCUUGCAAUAAUUCAUUUUUCUUUUAUUCUUUUUCUGAUUGAGAGGGAUAUACAUUGAUUUUGAAAUAUAAAAUACAACUUAACGACUGCGUAAAUUAGUGUUAAUUAUAGGAAAACUAAUUUCCUAAUCACACAAAAUUUAUCUGAAAAAAUUAGUUAAAACUUUCGUUUGCAUUAGGACUUUGUUUCUUACUUUUCGAAACAAGUUUUGAAUGAAACUUGAAACGUUUUAACGAUUUUUUUUGGUAUUGAAAAUAUGCAUUAUAAAAACGACGUCACGGUGAACUGUCAGAAUCGAUCUAGAAUUGUUUCAGGACUGCUGGUAACAGGUUUUGAGUAAGAUGGCUAUGGUUCUAUUUUUACAAAACACCUGUUUUUAGUAGAUCCUGCACAGUGGGUAGCUUCUAAAGUGACUAACGAAAGAAUACUUCAAAGUAUUAAUUAAAACUUAUCAAUAUUCAGCUUCAAUUUUUAUAUUAUUAAAAUAUAGUCUGUAUUGAUAUUUUCAAAUUCACUUUACAAUGGUAUAUCACAGGUUAUGUUUGUUUUAAUUUUCUUAAGAAUUUUUGUUGAAAUGUCGUAGAAUCGCGAAAUUGAAUACAAUUUUAAAGUCACUUGUCUUCAGGGCAUCACAAGGGGUUUUCUGGGUGCAUAGUUGUUGAUGGAUUCACGUAUCAUCACAAUUGUUUUAAUACAAAUUCGAAAGUAAGGUAAGAAAGAAUACGUAUAACUCCGUCUUUUUAAUUUGUAUUUUAUUUUAAAUAUGGGGUAUUAUCUUUAAAGUCUUUUGGAGGGAUUUUAAACAAGGGACGGCUUUAUUGUGGCUUCAAAUUCUAUUAAAUUUAAACAUUUCUUAUAUUAUAACAAGAAUUGUGAGAAUUUAAAUAAUAAUUUAUGUAAAUAUAGAAAUGUUUUUUGCCUGAAACAUGAUAAAAUAGCCUUAUACUUUAUUUAGGAUGUUUUAUUAUGUGUAGAAUUUGGGGUUAUGAAUCAUUCUAAAAAUAUCAAUUUCAAAUUCAGUUAAGGGAUACAAAAUAUCAUAUGAUCGUAAAAAGAAAACGGCGUCAGAGCAGGCUUGGAAAUGAAAAUCGCUGUUAUUUUAUAUGUAAAAUUUAUAAAUUUAUAGCUAUCGGUCAUUUCCAAACCAACUUAAAACGUUUCUUUUUUCAUCAUAUGGUAUUUAAUAUAGAGGGUUAGUAUGAAAUCAAUAUUACAUUGUGAUUUUAAAAUUGGAAAUGAGAUAUUAGAUACCAUUUUUCUUUUGUGAAAUGAUUGAACGCACUGAAUGUUAAACUUAGGUUUGUAAGUAAAUUUUAUUAUAAGUUAUUAAGUAUAUUAAUAAGCUGUUAGCAACUCGAAAAUUCCACAAAUCCAAAAUUAUUUAUAAGAACUUGAUGUUCAUUUCGCUAAACAUAUUAGCGUUAUCAGCAGGUAAUUAAAACUGAAUUUCAAUUAUCAAUAAAAACUAUUUUAAUCAUCAGCUGACGAUGCUAAUGGUUAGCGAAACGCGCGUCCAGAGUUGUCUUUUUUUGUUGAGUCAUUUUUUGGCGCGUUUCUGCUAAUUUGUGCAAUUUUCUAUUGUAGUUCAUUCUUCAUUCUAACUUUAUUUUCUUUUCUUUUCUUUCAAUUCAAAUGUUCUUCUUUGUUAAUCAAAUGUUUUUCUUUGUUAAUUAUAUUUAACAAAUACGAUAAACUCGUGAUAUCCUAACCUUUUGUUAGCACUGAACACUUGGAACAUUUAUUUCACAAAUUUAAUUGUCCUCUAAUGAGUUCUAAAUGUUCUAUUUAAUGAUUUAAUUCAAAAUUGUUUUGCGAUUUUGUAAACUACGAGGUAUUAAUAUGUAAAAUUUUCAUUUAUAAUGUAUUCAAAACAUUAAUUUAAAGUAUAGUUAUUAAUAGUUGUAGGAAGAUAUCUCAAAAUUUUCUAAUUACAAUUUAAAUGCGAUUCUAUUUAUUUGAAUACAUCUUAGCUUUUGGAUACUAAGAUAAUAUAACUACACUAUACACUAAUUAAAUAUGUAUAGAUAUCUGUAAAAAAUUUAGGAGACUGAUCCAAGAAAGUUUUUAGAACUGUGUCUCUUAGUAAAAAGUGCAAUUAUUUUUAAGAGUGGUAAAUCAGGACAUAAGAAACAUAAUUUUUAUUUAAAAAAGCUGAGUUAAUUGAAACUCUAAUAUAUAUUAAGGUUUAAAAAAGCUUAUAUGUUGCAAACACCCUUCUACACUUUUACACUUAUCUGUUGUCUUAAAAGAAAAAACUUACAGCAAUAAUUUUUUUACUGUUAUUUUCAACUAAACUGAGAGAAUAUAACUUCACAAUUAUUGCAGGUUGCAGCUUCUCUUAUCGUCAUAUUGUAUAUAUAUUUUCAAUCUUUGAGAAUAUGUGUUGUUGAAUACUUAAAUAUUUUCUAUGUGCCCACUCUUUCAAUGAGAAUUUAUGAAUGUACGAUUAUAUAUUUGCUAUAAUAUCGCCAAACUUUAUUUAGAUUUACCAAAAUCUUUUAUUAUUAAGAAUGUGAAACUUUGAGAAACAUUACCGGAAGAUGGCCGCGUACGACUGAUUAACGCAAGCGUGCCUUUCGGCGGUUGCGCGGUUGAAUGCUAGUUGUUUUUGCCGGGGUUGCUGUUAUGUAAUAAACUGUCACUUAAAAUACUUGCACUUUUUUAAGAGAUACAGUGUGUAAUUGUAUUAAGGGAUAAUUGUCGAUGUAAAACAAUAUAAACAGUUUUUUGAAUUGUUCGAAAUGGAUCUUAGGUAUUUAGUAUGUUCUGAAUAUAAGCGUCUGGUGUGUAAGGCCAGGGCAUGCAUGCCAGUAGGGGGCACCUCCGACGAUUUGCAAGUAACCAUACCCCACAAUCAUCCUCCAUGUCCCGAGGCUCAAGAGAAAGCCGAGUUCGUCAAGUUUGUGAAGAGAUCGAUAUUAUUGGGGGCGAGCAAAGACGGCAGGCUUAUGGAUAUCUACAAAUCUGCUGUACAAAUACAUCCGCAGGCAAAACAUUUCUAUACAUACGUCAAACUAGCACCAUCUAUGCGGAGAUGGAGGAUAUUAGCACGAAAAGGAUUGUUAAAAAUUAACUAAUUUAUAGAUGAUUAUUAGAAAUAAAUUUUUUUAGAGAAA